rnacentral:rRNA from 1 species
GACAGAGGUGCCAAGCGUUAGGCGGAAUCACUGGGCUUAAAGCGUGUGUAGGCGGACUGGUAAGUACCUUGUGAAAUCCUGGAGCUCGACUCCAGAACUGCCCUUGAUACUGACGGUCUCGAGUCCGGGAGAGGUGAGUGGAACUGCGAGUGUAGAGGUGAAAUUCGUAGAUAUUCGCAAGAACACCAGUGGCGAAGGCGGACUCACUG